CCACUGGCAACCUGCAAUCUAUCUUCCAAUGAUAAAAUGGUGGAGACGGAGCAAUACUUUCAUUUUGUGCAUUACCAAUGCAUGGUCUUGGAUUGGGGGAGUGACUGGCUGAGAGCACUCAGUUGACACUCUCAGCCUUUAAGUGCCCACUAUGCCUGAUAUGGCACAAAGUGAAGCAUCCAGUGAGUGAAAAAAUAUUUUAUCCCCUGCUGAUUUUGAAUAUUUACCCACUGACAAAAUGGUAAUGGUAGGUGUAUUUUAACAGUGAGAUACAGAAUAACAAAACAAAACAUAAUUUCCAGAAAAACGCAUGUCAAAAAAGUUUAAACUGAUUUACAUUGC